CAGCCGCCGCGGGAACACGUAGGUGGCAAGCGUUGUCCGGAAUUAUUGGGCGUAAAGGGCUCGCAGGCGGUUUCUUAAGUCUGAUGUGAAAGCCCCCGGCUCAACCGGGGAGGGUCAUUGGAAACUGGGAAACUUGAGUGCAGAAGAGGAGAGUGGAAUUCCACGUGUAGCGGUGAAAUGCGUAGAGAUGUGGAGGGACACCAGUGGCGAAGGCGACUCUCUGGUCUGUAACUGACGCUGAGGAGCGAAAGCGUGGGGAGCGAACAGGAUUAGAGACCCCUGUAGUCCCUGUCUCUUAUAC
rnacentral:rRNA from 1 species